rnacentral:rRNA from 1 species
UACGUAGGGUGCGAGCGUUGUCCGGAAUUAUUGGGCGUAAAGAGCUUGUAGGCGGUCUGUCGCGUCUGCUGUGAAAAUCCGGGGCUCAACCCCGGACUUGCAGUGGGUACGGGCAGACUAGAGUGUGGUAGGGGAGACUGGAAUUCCUGGUGUAGCGGUGAAAUGCGCAGAUAUCAGGAGGAACACCGAUGGCGAAGGCAGGUCUCUGGGCCACUACUGACGCUGAGAAGCGAAAGCAUGGGGGAGCGAAUAGG